CAUCGUCGAUCGUCCUAUUUGACUCCUCGUCCCCUCGUCUUUCGACCGGCGGCGCGUGGGCGUGGGUCGGUCUUGAUGUGGCAACGACCGUUCCAGCACACGAGUGGUGAUGGUCCUGCGUGCGUCGACGGGCUUCGUGCAACCGUGCAGCUGACCGCCGUCGCCUCCUCCCUUUCAUUGGGUCCCCUCUCGAGUCGUCGUGUCUUCGUGCCUCUCGAGUUGCCUGUGCGAUCUACCGGAUUCGUCAGACGGAAAAGUGAGAUCUCGCCCACAAGCACCUCUCUGCUCACUCUCUGCCCUGCGCUGUAGUUGGAGCGGCUAUGCAACCGUUGCCCUGAUGCUCGCUUGGAUGAUGGUGCGCCUUCGGGUAGCCAUCGUCGUUGAUCAUCGUGCCUUUGGCGGUUUCGGUGAGCGCAUCUCGGGCCUGGCAAAUAUAAAGUCUUCGGGUUAGGGGGCUGCGCUGCUUCCCUGCCGUGAACUUUUGGUUGGUUGGUCUUCCUCGGUCUGGACGACGCUCGGCUCCUUGUCGUGCCCCCGCCUCGGCGUCGGACGACGGGCGCUGGCGCGUCGCGGACGAUG
rnacentral:misc_RNA from 1 species